rfam:Candidatus Taylorbacteria bacterium RIFCSPLOWO2_12_FTLL_44_15c rifcsplowo2_12_scaffold_13946, whole genome shotgun sequence.
CUAAUGGGAAACAAGGGCGUAUGGUGGAUGCCUUGGCUUCAAAAGGCGAUGAAGGACGCAGCUUGGCGGCGAUACGCUUCGGGGAGGUGCCUAGCAACCUUUGAUCCGGAGAUGUCCGAAUGCGGAAACGCAGUGCGAGUAAUCGCAUUACCUGCUUAGAUUUUUGGGAAAAAAAAGCAGACUUUAACCGGUCUGCAAGCGGUGACAUAUACUUUUAAGCGUUAGUUGAGUGAUAGUAAAUUCACUCUGUCAGCUUCUCUCCAGAAGCUGAUAUGGCAAUCUUCCGGAUUUGCUUCAGGGAAGAAAUGUCUUAUUGUUGAGUGAAGUCUUUUUACGGAGACAAGACCGUCACGACCAAUCAAAUUGUCACGCGUUGUAGUUUGUUGCUGGCCGUAAUGAAUAGUCAGGUUGAUUUUGUUGUUCAUAACACGAGGAUCUAAAGUCAAGAUACUCUUACAAUUCAAAUAUGUCAAUUAUUGAUUGACCCCAAAAAUCUAAGCAGGAGUAGACCCGGGGAAGUAAAACAUUUCAGUACCCGGAGGAAAAAAAACUAAUAAGAAUUCCGUCAGUAGCGGCGAGCGAAAGCGGAAAUAGCCCAGAUCACCGUGCACAGCACAGAAAUUCCAAAAUCCAAAUCUCAAAUUCCAAACAAUAAUUAAAUUCCAAUUCUCAAAAAUUAAAUUUUGAUUAUUGAAAUUUGUUUGGAGCUUGGUUAUUGGAGCUUGGUGUUUCCGCGCUGUGCGCGGGGAAGUUGUAAGACGAAGAUGCCCCGAUGUUACAUCGGGGGAAAAGUUACAAAAUAUUUGGUUAGCCGAAGCCGCUGGAAAGCGGCCCCCUAGAGGGUGAUGGGCCCGUAGGCGAAAACUAAAUGUCUUUUUUGUCUUUGUUCUUGAGUAACUCAGGACACGAAUAGCUUGAGUGAAUCCGCCGGUACUAACCGGCAAGGCUAAAUACUUUUGAAGACCGAUAGUGAACUAGUACCGUGAGGGAAAGGUGAAAAGCAGCCCGGUGAGGGCGGUGAAAUAGACCUGAAACCAUAUGCUUACAAAGAGUUAUAGCCGUGCUUCGCACGGAAUUUCCAAGUUUCAAUAACCAAGUUCCAAACAAUAAUUAAUUUUUAAUAUUAAAUUUUAAGAUUUGUUUGAGAUUUGGAAAUUGUAAUUUGGAACUUCCGCGCGGAGCGCGGUGGUAGCGUGCCUAUUGAAGAAUGAGCCAACGAGUUGAUGUAUGCCGCGUUAGGUUAAGCCCGCGAGGGCCAAGCCACAGGGAAACCGAGUGUUAAUAGCGCGUAUGCCGUGCUUCGCACGGAAUUUCCAAGUUCCAAUAACCAAGUUCCAAACAAUAAUUAAUUUUUUAACAUUAAAUUUUAAGAUUUGUUUGUGAUUUGAAAAUUGUGAUUUGGAACUUCCGCGCGGAGCGCGGUGGUGGUAUAUAUCAGACCCGAAGCCGAAGCGAGCUUGCCAUGAGCAGGAUGAACCCCGCAGAAAUGCGGGGGAAGGUCCGAACGCUAGAGCUGUGCAAUACUCUGCGAUGACUUGUGGUAAGAAGUGAAAAGCUAAUCGAGCUCGGUAAUAGCUGGUUCUCUCCGAAAUAGCUUUUGGGCUAGCGUCGUGUGUUCCUCUUGGGGGUAGAGCACUGGAUGGUCCGGACAGGGCGAAAGCUCGCCAGACCAAUCAAACUCCGAAUACCAAAGCCGAUGUAAAGUCGGCUCCCCGACUUCGCGUCGGGGGAGUUAAAAUACGGCAGUUAGAGCGUGGGGGCUAAGCUUCACUGCUCAAAAGGGAAACAGCCCGGAUCUCAAUUUAAGGUCCCUAAAUCUAUGCUAAGUGCAUCACAAGGUGGUGGAAUUUCUCAAACAAUGAGGAGGUAGGCUUAGAAGCAGCCAUCCUUGAAAGAAAGCGUAACAGCUCACUCAUCGAGAGAUUCUGCGCCGAAGAUAAUCGGGGCUAAGCAUAGUACCGAAACUGAGAGUGCCGUGCGUAGCACGGAAUUUCCAAGUUCCAAUAACCAAGUUUCAAACAAUAAUUAAUUUUUAAUAUUAAAUUUUAAAAUUUGUUUGUGAUUUGGAAAUUGUGAUUUGGAAUUUCCGCGCUGUGCGCGGCGCGGUAGGAGAGUAUUCGCAUCGCAUUGAAGCUCUAGCCGUGAGGCGGAGUGGAGCGUUGCGAAGCAAGAAUGUUGGCACAAGUAACCACAAAUCCCGAUGAGAAAUCGGGACGCCGAAAGACCAAGGUUUCCUUGGCGAUGAUUGUCAGCCAAGGGUUAGUCGGGCCUAAGCCAAUGGCGAAAGCCGCAGGCGAUGGACACACGGUUAAUAUUCCGUGACUUUUAUAAAAAUCGACGGGAGGACGGAGCUUAGUAUGCCGAGCGCCUUAUUGGAUUGGCGUUCAGGCCGCGAGGAAGAUGCCUAGGAAAAUCCGGGUAUGCCCUUUAGUGGGACUUCCCAGCGGAUCGAAGACCGUGCGUAGCACGGAAAUUCCAAAUUCCAAAUCACAAAUUCCAAACAAUAAUUAAAUCUCAAUUUUCAAAAAUUAAAUUUUGAUUAUUGAAGUUUGUUUGCCCGCCCGAACGACCGUUCGGUCGGUCGGGGAGCUUGAAUAUUGGAGCUUGGUGCUUCCGCGCUGCGCGCGGGAUUUGGCAAAGCGGGCUUCCAAGAAAAUUCCCUAAGAUUAUUUUUAUGAAAACCGUACCGCAAACCGACACAGGUGGUCAGCUCGAGAAGAGCAAGGCGAACGAGUGAAGGUUCUCCAAGGAACUCGGCAAAAAAUC